AGCAGUCGCCGCGGUAAUACCGAGGAUGCAAGCGUUAUCCGGAAUGAUUGGGCGUAAAGCGUCUGUAGGUGGCUUUUCAAGUCUGAUGUGAAAGCCCCCGGCUCAACCGGGGAGGGUCAUUGGAAACUGGGAAACUUGAGUGCAGAAGAGGAGAGUGGAAUUCCACGUGUAGCGGUGAAAUGCGUAGAGAUGUGGAGGAACACCAGUGGCGAAGGCGACUCUCUGGUCUGUAACUGACGCUGAGGAGCGAAAGCGUGGGGAGCGAACAGGAUUAGAUACCCGUGUAGUCCCUGUCUCUUAUAU
rnacentral:rRNA from 1 species